GACGAACGCUUGCGGCGUGCUUAACACAUGCAAGUCGAACGGAAAGGCCCUGCUUUUGUGGGGUGCUCGAGUGGCGAACGGGUGAGUAACACGUGAGUAACCUGCCCUUGACUUUGGGAUAACUUCAGGAAACUGGGGCUAAUACCGGAUAGGAGCUCCUGCUGCAUGGUGGGGGUUGGAAAGUUUCGGCGGUUGGGGAUGGACUCGCGGCUUAUCAGCUUGUUGGUGGGGUAGUGGCUUACCAAGGCUUUGACGGGUAGCCGGCCUGAGAGGGUGACCGGCCACAUUGGGACUGAGAUACGGCCCAGACUCCUACGGGAGGCAGCAGUGGGGAAUAUUGCACAAUGGGCGGAAGCCUGAUGCAGCAACGCCGCGUGCGGGAUGACGGCCUUCGGGUUGUAAACCGCUUUCGCCUGUGACGAAGCGUGAGUGACGGUAAUGGGUAAAGAAGCACCGGCUAACUACGUGCCAGCAGCCGCGGUGAUACGUAGGGUGCGAGCGUUGUCCGGAUUUAUUGGGCGUAAAGGGCUCGUAGGUGGUUGAUCGCGUCGGAAGUGUAAUCUUGGGGCUUAACCCUGAGCGUGCUUUCGAUACGGGUUGACUUGAGGAAGGUAGGGGAGAAUGGAAUUCCUGGUGGAGCGGUGGAAUGCGCAAAUAUCAGGAGGAACACCAGUGGCGAAGGCGGUUCUCUGGGCCUUUCCUGACGCUGAGGAGCGAAAGCGUGGGGAGCGAACAGGCUUAAAUACCCUGGUAGUCCACGCUGUAAACGGUGGGUACUAGGUGUGGGGUCCAUUCCACGGGUUCCGUGCCGUAGCUAACGCUUUAAGUACCCCGCCUGGGGAGUACGGCCGCAAGGCUAAAACUCAAAGGAAUUGACGGGGCCCCGCACAAGCGGCGGAGCAUGCGGAUUAAUUCGAUGCAACGCGUAGAACCUUACCUGGGUUUGACAUGGAUCGGGAGUGCUCAGAGAUGGGUGUGCCUCUUUUGGGGUCGGUUCACAGGUGGUGCAUGGCUGUCGUCAGCUCGUGUCGUGAGAUGUUGGGUUAAGUCCCGCAACGAGCGCAACCCUUGUUCACUGUUGCCAGCACGUUAUGGUGGGGACUCAGUGGAGACCGCCGGGGCCAACUCGGAGGAAGGUGGGGAUGACGUCAAGUCAUCAUGCCCCUUAUGUCCAGGGCUUCACGCAUGCUACAAUGGCUGGUACAGAGAGUGGCGAGCCUGUGAGGGUGAGCGAAUCUCGGAAAGCCGGUCUCAGUUCGGAUUGGGGUCUGCAACUCGACCUCAUGAAGUCGGAGUCGCUAGUAAUCGCAGAUCAGCAACGCUGCGGUGAAUACGUUCCCGGG
rnacentral:rRNA from 1 species